rnacentral:lncRNA from 1 species
AAGUUCGAAGAUGGCGCCGCCUGUCUGGUCGCGGUCUUAUGACGAAAUCUUGUUAGCUGCUCUUCACUGACGCCCCCACCCCAGUGCACAAGAUGAAGUUCUGCUCUUGUUGCCCAGGCUGGAGUGCAAUGGCGCGAUCUCGGCUCACCACAACCUCUGCCUCCUGGGUUCAAGUGAUUCUCCUGCCUCAGCCUCCCGAGUAGCUGGGAUUACAGGCAUGCACCACCACUCCCAGCUGAUUUGUUGUAUUUUUAUAUUUUUAGUAGAGACGGGGUUUCUCCACGUUGGUCAGGCUGGUCUCGAACUCCCAACCUCAGGUGAUCUGCCCGCCUCAGCCACCCAAAGUGCCAGGAUAACAGGCGUGAGCCACUGAGUCCGGCAAUUAAUAAAUCCUUUUUUUUUUUUUUUUUGAGAUGGAGUCUCGCUCUGUCGCCCAGGCUGGAGUGCAGUGGCAUGAUCUCGGCUCACUGCAAGCUCUGCCUCCUGGGUUCACGCCAUUCUCCUGACUCAGCCUCCAGAUUAGCUGGGACUACAGGCGCCCACCACCACGCCCGGCUAAUUUUUUGUAUUUUUAGUAGAGACGGGGUUUCACUGUGUUAGCCAGGAUGAUUGUGAACUCCUGACCUCGUGAACUGCCCUCCUCGGCCUCCCAAAGUGCUGGAAUUACAGGCUUGAGCCACUGUGCCCGGCCUAAUAAAUCUUAAUGAUGGCUUUUCUUCUGUGAAAACACCUGACCACUGACCCACCAAAUCUCCCACAGGAAAAGUAAACUUUGAAGUUACUUUUGUCUUGUUCCCUCUUCCUGGUUGCUAGUUUAAUGUAAUGUUUUUGCAAUAGCUAGACUGCUGUAAUAUACUGUCAGUGUUUUUCCAAUUAAAUAGAAACAGAGCUAUAUAAUUA